GAAGGAUCCUGCAGCCCGAGUCCCGUCCUCAGGCUUCCCCAAUCCAGGGGACUCGGCGCCGGGACGCUGCUAUGGACGACAUUUUCACUCAGUGCCGGGAGGGCAACGCAGUCGCCGUUCGCCUGUGGCUGGACAACACGGAGAACGACCUCAACCAGGGGUGAGCUGAAACGGUUGGUGGAUGAGAGGAAGGCUAGAGAUCUCCUGGCUACGUGGAGUGGAGUGCUCAUGUCUGGUGGUGGCGGCUGCCUUUGCUAGCCAGUGUAAUGAGUGCUAAGCAUAGCCUGUGGGGGGCAGAGGGUUUUCACAGAGGACGCAGUUUGAGCUGAAUCUUGACUGCAGAAUAAGAGUUUCACAGGCAGAGGCUACAGAGAGCUUUCCAGCCUCAGUAGACUGCAUGGCCAAAGGCUAGGGGGCAAGGCACAGAGCAGAGAGAACAGGAAAUUGUCUGGAGUUCCAUAUGGCUGGAGGAUAGAUGAUCUCUGUGGGUCGGAGCAUUGGGUACAAGAGGAAAAGAACAGGACAUAAGACUGUAGAGGUCUCCAAGGAUCAGCCAGAUCAUGCAAGCAUAUUUAGGCUAUAAGAAGGUCUUUAUUUUAAAAGCAAGGUUUUAAAGCUGUAUAGUGACAUAAUGAGAUUGUCCAUUUUUCAGUAUCGUCUUGGAUGCUUUGUGAAGAGCAGGUGGAAAGGAGGCAAUUGCCUAGUUCAUCGUAGAAGUAAUGAUGUCUUGGACUAGAAUUAGGGUGAGUGAAAAAGAGAAGUGAUCAAAUUCCAGAAGUCUUUAGGACGAAGAAUUGUGGAACUUGGUGUGGGGAGUGAGUAAGGGCAAAGAUGAGGACCAGGGUUCUGGCUUGGGAACUUGGUUGUUUUUACUGAGAUGGAG
rnacentral:lncRNA from 1 species